GACGAACGCUGGCGGCGUGCUUAACACAUGCAAGUCGAGCGGAGCGGCGAACGGGUGCGUAACGCGUGAGUAACUGCCCCCCUCCCUGGGAUAACAGUUGGAAACGGCUGCUAAUACCGGAUAGGGGGGGAUGACUCACGUCCUAUCAGCUUGUUGGUGGGGGAGUGGCCUACCAAGGCGACGACGGGUAGCCGGCCUGCGGGGGGGACCGGCCAGAUUGGGCUAAGAGACGGCCCAAACUCCUACGGGAGGCAGGAGGGGGGAAUAUUGCACAAGGGGGGAGACCCUGAUGGAGCAACGCGCGUGCGGGAUGACGGCCUUCGGGUGGUAAACCGCUUUCAGCCAUGACGCGGUAGUGGCAGAAGAAGCACCGGCUAACUACGUGCCAGCAGCCGCGGUAAUAC
rnacentral:rRNA from 1 species